rnacentral:rRNA from 1 species
GACCUACAAGUCGAGCAGGGUCGAAAGACGGACUUAGUGAUCCGGUGGUUCCGCAUGGAAGGGCCAUCGCUCAACGGAUAAAAGCUACCCCGGGGAUAACAGGCUUAUCUCCCCCAAGAGUUCACAUCGACGGGGAGGUUUGGCACCUCGAUGUCGGCUCAUCGCAUCCUGGGGCUGUAGUCGGUCCCAAGGGUUGGGCUGUUCGCCCAUUAAAGCGGUACGCGAGCUGGGUUCAGAACGUCGUGAGACAGUUCGGUCCCUAUCCGUCGUGGGCGUAGGAAAUUUGAGAGGAGCUGUCCUUAGUACGAGAGGACCGGGAUGGACAUACCUCUGGUGUACCAGUUGUCGUGCCAACGGCAUAGCUGGGUAGCUAUGUGUGGACGGGAUAAGUGCUGAAAGCAUCUAAGCAUGAAGCCCCCCUCAAGAUGAGAUUUCCCAACUUCGGUUAUAAGAUCCCUCAAAGAUGAUGAGGUUAAUAGGUUCGAGGUGGAAGCAUGGUGACAUGUGGAGCUGACGAAUACUAA